rnacentral:rRNA from 1 species
AUUGAACGCUGGCGGCAUGCCUUACACAUGCAAGUCGAACGGUAACAGGUCUUCGGAUGCUGACGAGUGGCGAACGGGUGAGUAAUACAUCGGAACGUGCCCGAGAGUGGGGGAUAACGGAGCGAAAGCUUUGCUAAUACCGCAUACGAUCUACGGAUGAAAGCAGGGGACCGCAAGGCCUUGCGCUCAUGGAGCGGCCGAUGGCAGAUUAGGUAGUUGGUGGGAUAAAAGCUUACCAAGCCGACGAUCUGUAGCUGGUCUGAGAGGACGACCAGCCACACUGGGACUGAGACACGGCCCAGACUCCUACGGGAGGCAGCAGUGGGGAAUUUUGGACAAUGGGCGCAAGCCUGAUCCAGCCAUGCCGCGUGCAGGAUGAAGGCCUUCGGGUUGUAAACUGCUUUUGUACGGAACGAAAAGACUCCUUCUAAUAAAGGGGGUCCAUGACGGUACCGUAAGAAUAAGCACCGGCUAACUACGUGCCAGCAGCCGCGGUAAUACGUAGGGUGCAAGCGUUAAUCGGAAUUACUGGGCGUAAAGCGUGCGCAGGCGGUUAUAUA